rnacentral:rRNA from 1 species
GGGUUGUGAGGUUAAGCGACUAAGCGUACACGGUGGAUGCCCUGGCAGUCAGAGGCGAUGAAGGACGUGCUAAUCUGCGAUAAGCGUCGGUAAGGUGAUAUGAACCGUUAUAACCGGCGAUUUCCGAAUGGGGAAACCCAGUGUGUUUCGACACACUAUCAUUAACUGAAUCCAUAGGUUAAUGAGGCGAACCGGGGGAACUGAAACAUCUAAGUACCCCGAGGAAAAGAAAUCAACCGAGAUUCCCCCAGUAGCGGCGAGCGAACGGGGAGGAGCCCAGAGCCUGAAUCAGUGUGUGUGUUAGUGGAAGCGUCUGGAAAGGCGCGCGAUACAGGGUGACAGCCCCGUACACAAAAAUGCACAUAUUGUGAGCUCGAUGAGUAGGGCGGGACACGUGGUAUCCUGUCUGAAUAUGGGGGGACCAUCCUCCAAGGCUAAAUACUCCUGACUGACCGAUAGUGAACCAGUACCGUGAGGGAAAGGCGAAAAGAACCCCGGCGAGGGGAGUGAAAAAGAACCUGAAACCGUGUACGUACAAGCAGUGGGAGCCUCUUUUAUGGGGUGACUGCGUACCUUUUGUAUAAUGGGUCAGCGACUUAUAUUCUGUAGCAAGGUUAACCGAAUAGGGGAGCCGAAGGGAAACCGAGUCUUAACUGGGCGUUAAGUUGCAGGGUAUAGACCCGAAACCCGGUGAUCUAGCCAUGGGCAGGUUGAAGGUUGGGUAACACUAACUGGAGGACCGAACCGACUAAUGUUGAAAAAUUAGCGGAUGACUUGUGGCUGGGGGUGAAAGGCCAAUCAAACCGGGAGAUAGCUGGUUCUCCCCGAAAGCUAUUUAGGUAGCGCCUCGUGAAUUCAUCUCCGGGGGUAGAGCACUGUUUCGGCAAGGGGGUCAUCCCGACUUACCAACCCGAUGCAAACUGCGAAUACCGGAGAAUGUUAUCACGGGAGACACACGGCGGGUGCUAACGUCCGUCGUGAAGAGGGAAACAACCCAGACCGCCAGCUAAGGUCCCAAAGUCAUGGUUAAGUGGGAAACGAUGUGGGAAGGCCCAGACAGCCAGGAUGUUGGCUUAGAAGCAGCCAUCAUUUAAAGAAAGCGUAAUAGCUCACUGGUCGAGUCGGCCUGCGCGGAAGAUGUAACGGGGCUAAACCAUGCACCGAAGCUGCGGCAGCGACANNNNNNNNNNNNNNNNNNNNNNNNNNNNNNNNNNNNNNNNNNNNNNNNNNNNNNNNNNNNNNNNNNNNNNNNNNNNNNNNNNNNNNNNNNNNNNNNGGUAUGCUGGAGGUAUCAGAAGUGCGAAUGCUGACAUAAGUAACGAUAAAGCGGGUGAAAAGCCCGCUCGCCGGAAGACCAAGGGUUCCUGUCCAACGUUAAUCGGGGCAGGGUGAGUCGACCCCUAAGGCGAGGCCGAAAGGCGUAGUCGAUGGGAAACAGGUUAAUAUUCCUGUACUUGGUGUUACUGCGAAGGGGGGACGGAGAAGGCUAUGUUGGCCGGGCGACGGUUGUCCCGGUUUAAGCGUGUAGGCUGGUUUUCCAGGCAAAUCCGGAAAAUCAAGGCUGAGGCGUGAUGACGAGGCACUACGGUGCUGAAGCAACAAAUGCCCUGCUUCCAGGAAAAGCCUCUAAGCAUCAGGUAACAUCAAAUCGUACCCCAAACCGACACAGGUGGUCAGGUAGAGAAUACCAAGGCGCUUGAGAGAACUCGGGUGAAGGAACUAGGCAAAAUGGUGCCGUAACUUCGGGAGAAGGCACGCUGAUAUGUAGGUGAAGUCCCUCGCGGAUGGAGCUGAAAUCAGUCGAAGAUACCAGCUGGCUGCAACUGUUUAUUAAAAACACAGCACUGUGCAAACACGAAAGUGGACGUAUACGGUGUGACGCCUGCCCGGUGCCGGAAGGUUAAUUGAUGGGGUCAGCGCAAGCGAAGCUCUUGAUCGAAGCCCCGGUAAACGGCGGCCGUAACUAUAACGGUCCUAAGGUAGCGAAAUUCCUUGUCGGGUAAGUUCCGACCUGCACGAAUGGCGUAAUGAUGGCCAGGCUGUCUCCACCCGAGACUCAGUGAAAUUGAACUCGCUGUGAAGAUGCAGUGUACCCGCGGCAAGACGGAAAGACCCCGUGAACCUUUACUAUAGCUUGACACUGAACAUUGAGCCUUGAUGUGUAGGAUAGGUGGGAGGCUUAGAAGUGUGGACGCCAGUCUGCAUGGAGCCGACCUUGAAAUACCACCCUUUAAUGUUUGAUGUUCUAACGUUGACCCGUGAUCCGGGUUGCGGACAGUGUCUGGUGGGUAGUUUGACUGGGGCGGUCUCCUCCUAAAGAGUAACGGAGGAGCACGAAGGUUGGCUAAUCCUGGUCGGACAUCAGGAGGUUAGUGCAAUGGCAUAAGCCAGCUUGACUGCGAGCGUGACGGCGCGAGCAGGUGCGAAAGCAGGUCAUAGUGAUCCGGUGGUUCUGAAUGGAAGGGCCAUCGCUCAACGGAUAAAAGGUACUCCGGGGAUAACAGGCUGAUACCGCCCAAGAGUUCAUAUCGACGGCGGUGUUUGGCACCUCGAUGUCGGCUCAUCACAUCCUGGGGCUGAAGUAGGUCCCAAGGGUAUGGCUGUUCGCCAUUUAAAGUGGUACGCGAGCUGGGUUUAGAACGUCGUGAGACAGUUCGGUCCCUAUCUGCCGUGGGCGCUGGAGAACUGAGGGGGGCUGCUCCUAGUACGAGAGGACCGGAGUGGACGCAUCACUGGUGUUCGGGUUGUCAUGCCAAUGGCACUGCCCGGUAGCUAAAUGCGGAAGAGAUAAGUGCUGAAAGCAUCUAAGCACGAAACUUGCCCCGAGAUGAGUUCUCCCUGAC